UAAUACGGAGGAUCCAAGCGUUAUCCGGAUUUAUUGGGUUUAAAGGGUGCGCAGGCGGAAGAUUAAGUCGGCGGUGAAAUUUUGCAGCUCAACUGUAAAAGUGCCAUCGAUACUGGUUUUCUUGAGUGUGGAUGAAGUAGGCGGAAUUUGUGGUGUAGCGGUGAAAUGCAUAGAUAUCACGAGGAACUCCGAUUGCGCAGGCAGCUUACUAGGCCAUAACUGACGCUCAGGCACGAAGGCGUGGGGAUCAAACGGGCUUAGAUACCCUGGUAGUCCACGCAGUAAACUAUGAUUACUCGCUGUUUGCGAUACACCGUAAGCGGCUUAGCGAAAGCGUUAAGUAAUCCACCUGGGGAGUACGUUCGCAAGAAUGAAACUCAAAGGAAUUGACGGGGGCCCGCACAAGCGGAGGAACAUGUGGUUUAAUUCGAUGAUACGCGAGGAACCUUACCCGGGCUUGAAAUGCAUCUGACAGGAGCAGAGACGCUCUCUUCCUUCGGGACAGAUGUGUAGGUGCUGCAUGGUUGUCGUCAGCUCGUGCCGUGAGGUGUCGGCUUAAGUGCCAUAACGAGCGCAACCCUCAUCAUUAGUUACCAUCAGGUUAAGCUGGGGACUCUAAUGAGACUGCCAUCGUAAGAUGUGAGGAAGGUGGGGAUGACGUCAAAUCAGCACGGCCCUUACGUCCGGGGCGACACACGUGUUACAAUGGGUGGUACAAAGGGCAGCUACAUGGCGACAUGAUGCUAAUCUCCAAAACCACUCUCAGUUCGGAUCGGAGUCUGCAACUCGACUUCGUGAAGCUGGAUUCGCUAGUAAUCGCGCAUCAGCCACGGCGCGGUGAAUACGUUCCCGGGCCUUGUACACACCGCCCGUCAAG
rnacentral:rRNA from 1 species